rnacentral:sRNA from 1 species
GUUUUCUUCUCCGUUCCCGGCG